rnacentral:rRNA from 1 species
UACGAAGGGGCUAGCGUUGUUCGGAAUUACUGGGCGUAAAGCGCGCGCAGGCGGUUCUCCAAGUCAGAGGUGAAAGCCCAGAGCUCAACUCUGGAAUGGCCUUUGAGACUAGAGAACUUGGGUACGGGAGAGGUGAGUGGAAUUCCGAGUGUAGAGGUGAAAUUCGUAGAUAUUCGGAAGAACACCAGUGGCGAAGGCGGCUCACUGGCCCGUUACCGACGCUCAGGCGCGACAAGCGUGGGGAGCAAACAGG